GCAGUGAUGCUUCAGUGGUAGAAUUUUCACCUUCCAUGUGGAAGACCCGGGUUCAGUUUCCGGCCAGUGCA
rnacentral:tRNA from 1 species